AGCGCAUACGGUGGAUGCCUUGGCAGUCAGAGGCGAUGAAAGACGUGGUAGCCUGCGAUAAGCUUUGGGGAGUCGGCAAACAGACUGUGAUCCAGAGAUCUCUGAAUGGGGGAACCCACUCAGCAUAAGCUGAGUAUCUUGUACUGAAUACAUAGGUGCAAGAGGCGAACCAGGGGAACUGAAACAUCUAAGUACCCUGAGGAAAAGAAAUCAACCGAGAUUCCCUUAGUAGUGGCGAGCGAACGGGGACCAGCCCUUAAGUUGAUUUGAGAUUAGUGGAACGCUCUGGAAAGUGCGGCCAUAGUGGGUGAUAGCCCCGUACACGAAAAUCUCUUAUCAAUGAAAUCGAGUAGGACGGAGCACGAGAAACUUUGUCUGAAUAUGGGGGGACCAUCCUCCAAGGCUAAAUACUACUGACUGACCGAUAGUGAACCAGUACCGUGAGGGAAAGGCGAAAAGAACCCCGGAGAGGGGAGUGAAAUAGAACCUGAAACCGUAUGCGUACAAGCAGUGGGAGCCUACUUUGUUAGGUGACUGCGUACCUUUUGUAUAAUGGGUCAGCGACUUAUAUUCAGUGGCGAGCUUAACCGAAUAGGGGAGGCGUAGCGAAAGCGAGUCUUAAUAGGGCGUUUAGUCGCUGGGUAUAGACCCGAAACCGGGCGAUCUAUCCAUGGGCAGGUUGAAGGUUAGGUAACACUGACUGGAGGACCGAACCGACUACCGUUGAAAAGUUAGCGGAUGACCUGUGGAUCGGAGUGAAAGGCUAAUCAAGCUCGGAGAUAGCUGGUUCUCCUCGAAAGCUAUUUAGGUAGCGCCUCAUGUAUCACUGUAGGGGGUAGAGCACUGUUUCGGCUAGGGGGUCAUCCCGACUUACCAAACCGAUGCAAACUCCGAAUACCUACAAGUGCCGAGCAUGGGAGACACACGGCGGGUGCUAACGUCCGUCGUGAAAAGGGAAACAACCCAGACCGUCAGCUAAGGUCCCAAAGUCAUGGUUAAGUGGGAAACGAUGUGGGAAGGCUUAGACAGCUAGGAGGUUGGCUUAGAAGCAGCCACCCUUUAAAGAAAGCGUAAUAGCUCACUAGUCGAGUCGGCCUGCGCGGAAGAUGUAACGGGGCUCAAACCAUGCACCGAAGCUACGGGUAUCACCUUUUGGUGAUGCGGUAGAGGAGCGUUCUGUAAGCCUGUGAAGGUGAGUUGAGAAGCUUGCUGGAGGUAUCAGAAGUGCGAAUGCUGACAUGAGUAACGACAAUGCGAGUGAAAAACUCGCACGCCGAAAGACCAAGGUUUCCUGCGCAACGUUAAUCGACGCAGGGUUAGUCGGUCCCUAAGGCGAGGCUGAAAAGCGUAGUCGAUGGAAAACAGGUUAAUAUUCCUGUACUUCCAGUUAUUGCGAUGGAGGGACGGAGAAGGUUAGGCCAGCCUGGCGUUGGUUGUCCAGGUUUAAGGUGGUAGGCUGAAAUCUUAGGCAAAUCCGGGAUUUCAAGGCCGAGAGCUGAUGACGAGUUGCCUUUAGGCGACGAAGUGGUUGAUACCAUGCUUCCAAGAAAAGCUCCUAAGCUUCAGAUAACUGGGAACCGUACCCCAAACCGACACAGGUGGUUAGGUAGAGAAUACCAAGGCGCUUGAGAGAACUCGGGUGAAGGAACUAGGCAAAAUGGCACCGUAACUUCGGGAGAAGGUGCGCCGGCGAGGGUGAAGGACUUGCUCCGUAAGCUCAUGCCGGUCGAAGAUACCAGGCCGCUGCGACUGUUUAUUAAAAACACAGCACUCUGCAAACACGAAAGUGGACGUAUAGGGUGUGACGCCUGCCCGGUGCCGGAAGGUUAAUUGAUGGGGUUAGCGCAAGCGAAGCUCUUGAUCGAAGCCCCGGUAAACGGCGGCCGUAACUAUAACGGUCCUAAGGUAGCGAAAUUCCUUGUCGGGUAAGUUCCGACCUGCACGAAUGGCGUAACGAUGGCGGCGCUGUCUCCACCCGAGACUCAGUGAAAUUGAAAUCGCUGUGAAGAUGCAGUGUAUCCGCGGCUAGACGGAAAGACCCCGUGAACCUUUACUAUAGCUUUGCACUGGACUUUGAAUUUGCUUGUGUAGGAUAGGUGGGAGGCUUUGAAGUGGGGACGCCAGUUCUCAUGGAGCCAUCCUUGAAAUACCACCCUGGCAACUUUGAGGUUCUAACUCAGGUCCGUUAUCCGGAUCGAGGACAGUGUAUGGUGGGUAGUUUGACUGGGGCGGUCUCCUCCCAAAGAGUAACGGAGGAGUACGAAGGUGCGCUCAGACCGGUCGGAAAUCGGUCGUAGAGUAUAAAGGCAAAAGCGCGCUUGACUGCGAGACAAACACGUCGAGCAGGUACGAAAGUAGGUCUUAGUGAUCCGGUGGUUCUGUAUGGAAGGGCCAUCGCUCAACGGAUAAAAGGUACUCCGGGGAUAACAGGCUGAUACCGCCCAAGAGUUCAUAUCGACGGCGGUGUUUGGCACCUCGAUGUCGGCUCAUCACAUCCUGGGGCUGAAGCCGGUCCCAAGGGUAUGGCUGUUCGCCAUUUAAAGUGGUACGCGAGCUGGGUUUAGAACGUCGUGAGACAGUUCGGUCCCUAUCUGCCGUGGACGUUUGAGAUUUGAGAGGGGCUGCUCCUAGUACGAGAGGACCGGAGUGGACGAACCUCUGGUGUUCCGGUUGUCACGCCAGUGGCAUUGCCGGGUAGCUAUGUUCGGAAGAGAUAACCGCUGAAAGCAUCUAAGCGGGAAACUUGCCUCAAGAUGAGAUCUCACUGGGAUCUUGA
rnacentral:rRNA from 2 species